rnacentral:pre_miRNA from 1 species
GGAAACCUGGAAACUACUGUUGGAUCCAAAAAUGAACACCUAGGAUUUAUCCAAGUCAUCAAGAUAAAAAAUUUUACUCAUGGUUGAAUCUGGAAGUAAAACUUUUACUAUGUGUGAUAUGGAGAAAUCCUACGUGUUUAUUUUUACAUCCAACAAUAGUUUCUAGGUUUCA